GCCUUUUUGCAAAGGGUAGCUCAAUGGGUAGAGCAUGAGCCUCUUAAUGUCAGGGUCAUGGUUUGGAGUCCCAGGGUGGGCA